rnacentral:lncRNA from 1 species
GCAAUAGUUUCCUAAAGUGGAUGUGUAGGCUGGUGACAUCUGAGUCAUCUUGAGAACCCCAAAAGCUAUAAUAGGCCCAGGAAUCUGUACUUCGAAUGUUUCUUCAGUUGGUCUAACUCACACAAGAACGGUGAUUCAUCAUAGCUCAAGGAGAUGUGCUGAAGUGUUUGCAUCCAUCGACAGCAUGCACAGGACUAUUGCUGAACUUCAUUUUGUGCUAACUUGAGACUGCCAUGCUGUUAGGAAGUUCAAGUUCACCACAUGGAGAUGAAAUAAGAUAUCAUGAUAAACAUCCCCAGCUGAUCCCAGCCUCCAGUGAUCCAUCAACUACAUAUAUGAUCCUAAGUCACAUGUGUGACCCCGAGCAAGAUCAGCAGAACAAUCACUCAGCCAACCCACAGAACCCUGAAAAAAUAUAAAUCAUUAUAGUUUAAACCACAA